rnacentral:rRNA from 1 species
CCUACGGGUGGCAGCAGUGAGGAAUCUUGGUCAAUGGGCGGGAGCCUGAACCAGCCAAGCCGCGUGAGGGAAGAAGGUCCAGCGUACCGUAAACCUCUUUUGUCAGGGAACAAAGGCGUGGACUAGUCCCCGGAUGAGGGUACGUGAACAAAAAGCAUCGGCUAACUUCAGUCCAGACGCCGGGGUAAUGGGGAGGAUGCGAGCGUUAUCCGGAUCUAUUGGUUUAAAGGGGUGCGCGGGGGGCCUGUUAAGUCAGCGUUAAAGGCCCGGGGGUCAACCCCGGCGAGCCGUUGAAACUGGCGGGCUUGAGUUGGGGAGAAGUACGCGGAAUGCGCGGUGUAGCGGUGAAAUGCUCAGAUAUCGCGCAGAACCCCGAUUGCGAAGGCAGCGUACCGGCUCCACACUGACGCUGAGGCACGAAAGCGUGGGUAUCGAACAGGAUUAGAUACCCUGGUAGUC